CGGAGCCCUUCCCUGGACAGCAUGCCAAAUACGCAUUUCAUUAAUAAUAUGUAAGCAUGAACUAGUGAAAUGAGUUCAGAUCCUUGGUGUCCUUUGUAAUGAAGGCAAGUGACUUUAGUCCAGAUAGCGUUCGUUGUGUUUACACUGCUAUUAUCAGUAAGUGUUUGCUCACAGUUGACGGUGCUUGUUCGUCUCGAUGAUUGGUCAAAUAAUGGAGCAGCUAUUAGAGGCGGAUAGUGAGAGGACAUUAUAACAGUGAGUCCAGGCAGACAGAUGUGAGUCUCAUCACAUUCCUGUCUGAUUUUAAGCGCCAUGUGAAGAUAUUUCAUGCACUGGUGCUUGGGGAGCCAGAGAAGGGCCAAUCCGGAACAUCAUCCCAAUUGAGAAAAACCCUCAUGUGGUGCGAAGUGCGGACGAGAGAUGUAGUGUGGAACAGUUCACUAUGAAUGCAGUGCUCAACGUGAGUCUUUUCUUUUAUUAUUAUUUCUUUGGUUCAGACAGACAGUCAUGUUGAUCUAUAUUCUAUGUGACUCUCAGGACACGCCUC
ensembl:lncRNA